rnacentral:lncRNA from 1 species
GUCAAUGGAAACCAAAGUUAGUAGAUUCACUGGAAGAACGUCUAGUUGUGAUGAAUUUGAAUCUUUUAGAAAUUCAAUACAGAUCUCUGUGACCUUUAGCUCAGUAAGCUUAAUCAUCCAUACCACAUAAGAGAUGUUACACUUCACAUAUUCAAUAUCCUUUACUUCACCGACGAAAUAGCAGUAUGACCAAUAAACUGCUCUAACAAUAACAGAUCCUAUACGAGCUAAAAUGUCUGCCAAUUUCUCUUUCUGAAUGCUGUCCUUGGAAUCUUUUUGAUCAACCAGCCAACUCAGGAAAUUUCUCACAAAUAUUAUCUUUUCUUCAAGGGCUUCAAAUUGUGUAUUCACAGAUACAAUCAAAUCGGUUUCACAGAUCUAGAUAUCCUUCGGAAUCUCUAGGUGAGAAUCAGCCAAUUCUUUCAAAGUUUCUUUCGUCAAGGGAGCAUCUAAUAGUAUUUUUGAAUAAUGCAAAGUAUAGCAAACUCUAAUUCCCUCCUUAUAGCCCUUCAUCUCUUUUAUCAUAUUAGAAACAAAGAGUUGGAAGUCUCUGGUCAUGCUUUUAUCAGUUGUUAGUUUAAGACAAAGUGAGUGAAGUUCUGAUACAGCAUUCCACACAAAGCGUCUGGUUUGCCUCUCAGAAAAAUACAGGUCGGUCUUCCCUCUCGACCCUUGCAAAAUGUUCUCAAAAACCUUAGAUCCAGUUUAAGAGUGUGGAUUUGAUGAUCAAUAGGAAUUUUUGAAUGAUCAACAGCAGAAAUCAAGCCCCUGCUUUUGUCUAGGUACUCAAGAAGUUUCGUGACAUAACCAGCGUAAGUAAUGUCCAUAUAGUUCUAAAGCCACAGCAAAGGUUUCACAAGAUAAGCAGCAGAAGUCGAGCCCCUAUGGAUGGUUCUCAUCCCCUGCACAGAUUUCACAUUGUCAUCUGCAGAAAUGAAUAUACAAUAUUCAGCUCUUUUUCUCUUUGAUGAAGCAUAAAUGGGAAGUCCGUGUAAUCUGGUAGUAGAAGAAACAGAAGAUCUUGCUAACCAACAUGCAACAUUGACAAAUUGAUGAGAUUCGUGUGGAAGAACUAGCACUUGAGUACAUGGAACGCUUGGAUGACGGCGUUCAAAGAAAUUGACAUAACUUUCACAUACGGUGUCCAUUUUGGGCCCAUAACCCCAUUUCGAAAAACUUGCGACGAUUCUGGAUGAACUCACCGCUUAGCCGUGACAUAUGAUGAAUUUUGGUUGUUUGAAUUCGUUUACUGGGUCAAAACAGCAUUUCAAAUUUCUUAAUUUAUUAUUUUCAGUAUUUGUUAUUUUCGCUUUAUAGCCCAACCCAUUAAAGGACUGCUGG